rnacentral:rRNA from 1 species
UGGGGAAUUUUGGACAAUGGGGGAAACCCUGAUCCAGCCAUCCCGCGUGUGCGAUGAAGGCCUUCGGGUUGUAAAGCACUUUUGGCAGGAAAGAAACGUCAUGGGUUAAUACCCCGUGAAACUGACGGUACCUGCAGAAUAAGCACCGGCUAACUACGUGCCAGCAGCCGCGGUAAUACGUAGGGUGCAAGCGUUAAUCGGAAUUACUGGGCGUAAAGCGUGCGCAGGCGGUUCGGAAAGAAAGAUGUUAAAUCCCAGAGCUAAACUUUGGAACUGCAUUUGUAACUACCGGGCUAGAGUGUGUCAGAGGGAGGGGGAAUUCCGCGUGUAGCAGUGAAAUGCGUAGAUAUGCGGAGGAACACCGAUGGCGAAGGCAGCCUCCUGGGAUAACACUGACGCUCAUGCACGAAAGCGUGGGGAGCAAACAGG